rnacentral:rRNA from 1 species
CUGAUUAGCUAGUUGGUAAGGUAACGGCUUACCAAGGCGACGAUCAGUAGCCGACCUGAGAGGGUGAUCGGCCACAUUGGAACUGAGACACGGUCCAAACUCCUACGGGAGGCAGCAGGGGGGAAUAUUGCACAAUGGGCGAAAGCCUGAUGCAGCAACGCCGCGUGAGUGAUGAAGGCCUUCGGGUCGUAAAACUCUGUCCUCA